rnacentral:rRNA from 1 species
GGCUCAGGAUGAACGCUAGCUACAGGCUUAACACAUGCAAGUCGAGGGGAAACGAUAUUGGAAGCUUGCUUCCGAUAGGCGUCGACCGGCGCACGGGUGAGUAACGCGUAUCCAACCUGCCCAUCACUUGGGGAUAACCUUGCGAAAAGUAAGACUAAUACCCAAUGACGUCUCUAGAAGACAUCUGAAGGAGAUUAAAGAUUUAUCGGUGAUGGAUGGGGAUGCGUCUGAUUAGCUUGUUGGCGGGGUAACGGCCCACCAAGGCGACGAUCAGUAGGGGUUCUGAGAGGAAGGUCCCCCACAUUUGAACUGAGACACGGUCCAAACUCCUACGGGAGGCAGCAGUGAGGAAUAUUGGUCAAUGGGCGAGAGCCUGAACCAGCCAAGUAGCGUGCAGGAUGACGGCCCUAUGGGUUGUAAACUGCUUUUAUAAGGGAAUAAAGUGGGAGUCGUGACUCUUUUUGCAUGUACCUUAUGAAUAAGGACCGGCUAAUUCCGUG